AGAUACAUCAAGCAUCUUUUCUUACAUCUAAAUGGUGGGACAACCUCCUAGACCUUUAUAUGUGAAUGUGGCCAUGCAAAGUGUGUGACAUUUCAUUAUCUACCCGGUAUGAAUCAAUGCUAUCCACUUGUGGCCUAUACAGUUUGUUCCAAACGUAUGGUAACCCUGAAGAGACACAUCGUCAUCAAAGAUUAAAAAAUCAGGAUGGCAGGACCAGUUAGCUUCAGAGUCCUUUUUGGAAGUGAAGAUGAUGCAAGAAAACUAACCAUUAAAUCCGGAAUACCGUCUUCUGUGGAUGAAUUGGCUUUUGAAAUUAAGACCUUCUUUGGAGUAACAGAGCAGUUUAGGCUUCAAUACAAAGACGUAGACUUUGGAAACGAAUUCAUGAACCUCUUAUCAAUUUCUGAUAUUCAAGAUCGCAGUACUUUGAAAGUGGUAUACUUACCUUGUGAGGCUACCACCUCCGCAAUAUCCUCAGCUCCAUCCACUAAAGAUAACUGCUCCACAAUCCCAGUUACUCCCUCCAAUGUAUCUUGCAGCUCCUCGUCACAAGAACCAAGUGAUUCAGCAUCUGUUGACUCCUGUAGCAGCAAUGAUACUGUCAUAUUGUCAUCUCCUGACUCCCGGUCUUGCACUUGGCCUAAAGAUUUUGUAGUGCCACGAUUUUCAUAUUGUGCCGAGAUGCAGCUCCAGAAGGGAAAUGAUGAAUUCACAACAAGUGGAACUCUCCUAUCUCUUACUCCCAAACUCAGAUCUGAUAUUCUUGAAGGCAUUGCAGAAGAAAUAAUCAAGUAUAACAGCAUAUCCAAAGGACAAUCAGUUUGAAAAAGUUGCUGAGGCCUUGAUACAAACCCAUCCAUGUUUGCGUGAGAAAGGAACUCGGACUGGGUGUUGUGGAUGGAAGCACUAUAUUAAGAUAAAGAUGAUGAACUUCCGCACCAAGCUUGGCCGAGCUGGACACCCAGAAGUCACAGUCAACUCACUUAAAAACAAACAGAAAGGCCAGGGAAAACCAGCUGCAAACAUAAAAAAGCCACGGAGGGCAGAGGUUAAUUUCUGUCCAAACCAUCCGAGAGGUGAAACCAAUGACAGCCUGGAGGUGGAAAGGGUUGCUCUAUUGACCGAGGUAAAAAAAAAGAAUAACGAGACCGUUAUCAAGGAAAAGAUGCAGCGUACCUUCUCAUACCGACGACAAGAAAUUCUUCAGGAGCCAAUGAUUACAGAGGUCCGAAACAGAUGGCCAGCA